GAUGAAGAACGUAGUGAAAUGCGAUAAGUAAUGUGAAUUGCAGAAUUCAGUGAAUCAUCGAAUCUUUGAACGCACCUUGCGCCCUUUGGCUAUUCCGAAGGGCAUGCCUGUUUGAGUAUCAUGAACACCUCAACUCUCAUGGCUUGCCAUGAUGAGCUUGGACUUUUGGGGGUCUUGCUGGCCUGUGGUCAGCUCCUCUCAAAUGAAUUAGCCUGCCAGUGUUUGGUGGCAUCACAGGUGUGAUAACUAUCUACGCUUGUGGUUUUCCACCAGGUAACCUUCAGUGAUGAAGGUUCGCUGGGGCUCAUAAACGUCUCUCCUCAGUGAGGACAGCUCUUUGAACGUUUGAUCUCAAAUCAGGUAGGACUACCCGCUUAACUUAAGCAUAUCAAUAAGCGGAGGA
rnacentral:misc_RNA from 1 species